AGGAAGUAAAGCUGGGUAUUGGCAGUAAAGGUCAAUGGAGCAAGUUGGUUCACUUGCCGGAUGUCCCAGCCCUGGAUGCCAGAGGCCAGAUGGGUGUAAGCUUAAGGUGCUGCUGCUGCCCUAGGUGUGCCGAGGAAUGUGGGAGAGCAGGUACCCUGUGGAGGUGCGGAGCCCGAGUUUGGAUAUGGCAGCACUGAAGCAGAUGCAGAGAAUGUCUCAACGUUCGUGAUGCCGACACGUUCUUUUCCAUCAAGAACAGAUUUUGUCUACUCAUCUCCUGAAAGAUAAGUGUUGGGGCUGGUGGUCAGGAGAAGAGGAAAAACCUUUUCCAUCCUCCUUUUCCAUUCUAGGAGGCAAUUUAAAGUUAGCUUAGAUGAGAGGGUCCUAGAGGGAUGGACCAUUCGUGAGUAAAGGGAGAGCAUUUCUUCUCAGCCUCGUUGGAGCCUUCCCUGGCCAGGGCAGUUCUGCCCCCUCUCCAUGUUCUAGAGAGCUUUGUGGUGUCAGCUAUCUUCAAGAGUCCACAGGGUUAGGGUGCACCAGGGGAUGCCUGGCCCACCCUGGGAUCCAUGUCCUAGGAGG